GUGAACGCUGGCGGUAGGCCUAACCCCUGCAAGUCGAACGGCAGCACCGUAAGAGCUUGCUCUUACGGGUGGCGAGUGGCGGACGGGUGAGGAAUACCUCGGAAUCUACUUUUUCGUGGGGGAUAACGUAGGGAAACUUACCCUAAUACCGCAUACGACCUACGGGUGAAAGCAGGGGAUCUUCGGACCUUGCGCGAUUGAAUGAGCCGAUGUCGGAUUAGCUAGUUGGCGGGGUAAAGGCCCACCAAGGCGACGAUCCGUAGCUGGUCUGAGAGGAUGAUCAGCCACACUGGAACUGAGACACGGUCCAGACUCCUACGGGAGGCAGCAGUGGGGAAUAUUGGACAAUGGGCGCAAGCCUGAUCCAGCCAUACCGCGUGGGUGAAGAAGGCCUUCGGGUUGUAAGGCCCUUUUGUUGGGAAAGAAAAGCAGCAGGUUAAUACCCCGCUGUUCUGACGGUACCCAAAGAAUAAGCACCGGCUAACCUCGUG
rnacentral:rRNA from 1 species